UACAGAGGUCUCAAGCGUUGUUCGGAUUCAUUGGGCGUAAAGGGUGCGUAGGCGGCGCGGUAAGUCGGAUGUGAAAUCUCGGAGCUUAACUUCGAAACUGCAUUCGAUACUGCCGUGCUUGAGGACUGGAGAGGAGACUGGAAUUUACGGUGUAGCGGUGAAAUGCGUAGAUAUCAUAAGGAAGACCAGUGGCGAAGGCGGGUCUCUGGACAGUUCCUGACGCUGAGGCACGAAGGUCAGGGGAGCAAACGGG
rnacentral:rRNA from 1 species